CCGCGCCCACCACGUCUCCUUCCCCAAUCUCCCGUUUCUCUCUCUCUCUCCUGCUGAAUUUCUGUUGCCCCCGCUCCAACCUGCAGUACGCCAUCCGUGCCCCGUCGUGUACUCGCCGUCCGAAUACCAGGUAUACACCGCGCGUUGUGCAUCGCCGCUGCCAAUGCCUUACUCCACAGGCCACGCCGCCGCAAUCCUUUGCCGUCUCCGGUUGCUGCUCGUCACGCCGCCCCUGCGACCAGUAGAGGCUACCGGAGGUAGCCACACCGCCUCAUUUCACCUAGCGUUUCAGACCAACACCAACCAUCUCUAGGCAGCGCCACCUUACUCUCUAAUUGACCGACCACCGCUCCGAGUUGAGUAAGAGCUCAGCCACUGUCGCGGUCGCAGCUCCUAGCUCCUCCGUCGCACAGUGCCACUGCAUCAAAGUUGCUAGUGGAGGAAGUGGGGUUUUACACAACAAAUAUGGACCCUACAAAAGAAGUGAUUCCGGGAGACUACCACGGAUGAUGCUAACGAGUCAUCACAAGGGCAACGCAUUCCUCCACUCCCACUCAAUGUAAGUACUAAGACGGUUAAGUCCCAAACUACUCUAAGUUGGAAGGCUAAGGAUGAAGGAACUAGUAGUGAGGGAUUUGUGCCCAUAACAUUUAGUGUUGAGGCUUGCAGACAAGCCUUAGCAGAGAUGAUUAUUCGUGAUGAGUUGCCCUUUAAGUUCGUUGAGGGGGAGGGUUUCAAGAAGUUUAUGCAUGUUGUUUACCCUAUGUGGGUAGAGAUUCCAUCUCGUGUUACGAUUGCGAAUGAUUGUUUUACUGUGUAUUUGAGGGAAAAAAAUAAGUUGAGAAGUGCUCUUCAAGGGCAACGGAUUUCCCUUACCACGGAUACGUGGACAUCCAUGCAGAACCUGAAUUAUAUGUGUCUCACUGCGCAUUUAUUGAUGAUGAUUGGAAUCUACACAAGAUGAUUCUUUCUUUUUCUUUAGUAGAAAAUCACAAGGGUGAUACACUUGGUAGGGCCAUAGAGAUGUGCUUGCAUGAUUGAGGGCGACCGAAAAUACUUGCAAUCACUCUUGAUAAUGCAAGUUCUAAUAACGGAGCAAUUUUUUAUUUGAAAAAGAAAACCAAGUAUAGGAAGGACACUGUUUUGGAACAUGAAUUCUUGCAUAUUUGAUGUUGUACCCACAUCUUAAAUUUAAUCGUUCGUGAGGGGUUGAAAGAAUAUGAUGAGUCUAUUGCCAAGGUGAGAGGUGUUGUGAAAUAUGUUAAAUCCUCUCCUCAAAGGUGGAGUACAUUUAAGAAAUGUGUACAACUAGAAGAGAUUACGUGCAAAAGUCAUGUUUGCCUAGAUGUGCCAACUAGGUAGAACUCCACCUAUCUUACGUUGAAGAGGGCUGAAAAAUUUCAAAAAACUUUUAAACGGUUAGAGGAAGAAGAUUCGGGGUUCCUUACUAGUAUUGGAGACGACAAUGAUGAUGAUGAUGAUGUGGUGAGUAGGAGAACGUCAAAAAAGUUAGAGCCUCCCAACAAUAAUGAUUGGGAGAAGGUAAGGUUGUUUGUGAGCUUUCUUCAACUAUUUUAUGACGCAACUUUACGUUUCUCGGGGGCUGAAUAUGUAACUUGCAACUCUUUUUUUACGAAGUUAUUUAUAAUUCAAGAUGCGAUUAACAUGGAGUGUGAAAAAGGAAGCCUGAGAUUAAUGGCAACAAAUAUGAGGAAAAAGUUUGACAAAUAUUGGGGCAACAUGGAUAAUUUGAAUAUGUUGUUGUAUGGUGGGCUUAUUCUUGAUCCUCGAUAUAAGAUGCGAUAUCUUGAGUUUUUAUUCGAAUUAAUGUAUGUCCAUGAUCCAACAAAAGCAGUUGAUUUGAGUUUGAAGGUGAAAAAUAUUUUAACCUGCAUGUAUGAUGCAUACGUUGAAAAUGAAGAAGGGAACAAUUCUGGUCAACAACAGCAGCGCACAAGUCCCUCAUGUGAAUAUGUAAAUCCUACAGGUAGUAGAUUUAAGGAUAGAACGGCACAUAGAAUGGCCUUAUUUAAGCAAUGGUUACAGUCAACAAACUCUUUGCAAAGCAAGUUAGAGGUUGAUAGAUACCUAACUGAAAGUUGUGUGGAACAAGAGGCAAAUUUUGAUAUUCUAAAUUAGUGGAAGGUUAAUUCAGUUAGAUAUGGCGUACUUUCAAAAGUUGCAUGUGAUAUUCUUGCAACACCAGUGUCUACAGUGGCCUCUGAAUCUGCAUUUAACAUGACAGGUCAUGUACUUGAUCAUUUUCAAAGUAGUUUAUCUCUGAUGAUGGUAGAAGGCCUCAUUUGUGCCCAUAAUUGGCUUCGUUCUUCUUCUAUUCCAAUUGUCCUUAGGACUUUAAUGGAUAAAGUGGAGGAUUUUGGGAAGCAGCUAGAUAUGGAAUUUGUUGGGGACGUUGAAAGUUCUAUCGAGGCGUCGAAUACAAUGUCUACACCUAAUGCAGAUGAAUGAGUAAAGUUGUGGACACUUGGAGUUUUGGACUUGGAGACUGUUAUGCCCUUUUAUUUUUUAUUCAAUCAUUUGUAAUUUGUAAUAUCACUUUAUAAGUAGGUGGGUUAUGGCUAGAUGCAUAGAUUGUAAAUUGUAAUAAUUUUUAUGUGUCAUUUACUUUA